rnacentral:rRNA from 1 species
UAGGGAAUCUUCCGCAAUGGACGCAAGUCUGACGGAGCAACGCCGCGUGAGUGAAGAAGGAUUUCGGUUCGUAAAACUCUGUUGUUAGAGAAGAACAGCGCAUAGAGUAACUGUUAUGCGUGUGACGGUAUCUAACCAGAAAGCCACGGCUAACUACGUGCCAGCAGCCGCGGUAAUACGUAGGUGGCAAGCGUUGUCCGGAUUUAUUGGGCGUAAAGCGAGCGCAGGCGGUCAAUUAAGUCUGAUGUGAAAGCCCCCGGCUCAACCGGGGAGGGUCAUUGGAAACUGGAAAACUUGAGUGCAGAAGAGGAAAGUGGAAUUCCAUGUGUAGCGGUGAAAUGCGCAGAGAUAUGGAGGAACACCAGUGGCGAAGGCGACUUUCUGGUCUGUAACUGACGCUGAUGUGCGAAAGCGUGGGAAUCAAACAGG